ACGGACGUCCCACGUUCGGAUUGCAGCCUGCAACUCGGCUGCAUGAAGCUGGAAUCGCUAGUAAUCGCGGAUCAGAAUGCCGCGGUGAAUACGUUCCCGGGUCUUGUACACACCGCCCGUCACACCAUGGGAGUCGGGAAUGCCCGAAGUCAGUGACCCAACCGAAAGGGGGGAGCUGCCGAAGGCAGGCCUGGUAACUGGGGUGAAGUCGUAACAAGGUACC
rnacentral:rRNA from 1 species